rnacentral:antisense_RNA from 1 species
AGGCGGCAGCGGAAGGUGGGAGCGACGACUGCAAAGCGGCAGCGAUGGGAUGGGUAGGCCGCUUCCAGCGCGCUUGUAACAAGGUGGAGAGAGGCGCUUCACUCCCCUAGCGCCCUUACCGCCGCUCCGUCUUGUCUACCGCGGCUCCGUCUUGUCUCACACCGACUCACAGGGAGGCUUGCUGCUCCUCCGCGGCCGUUACAGAGAGCGGGGCUUCUGCGGCCGCUACGGUUUCCCUGGGGCCAGGUUGCUUCGCAGAGGGCUCUGGCCCUGAGUCCGAGGGGGACCGCGGGGUCCAGGGGCGAUGAAUGCUCCCGCAACCUUCGGAGCUUGUGCGCGUACUUCAGGGACCGGCACCACGUCACCGUCGCCUCCUGAGUAGUGAGUUCCCCUCUGAUGAGACCACUGGUGUAUUUACUCACCAUCCCCACCUUUUUUUUUUUUUUUUUUUCCCCAACCCGAUGGAAGGAAGUACAUAAUGGAGAGCAAGUUUUUAAAGCACGGUCGUGUCGUGUGAACUUGCUCUAGCCAAAUUAGGUUUAUAGCACUUUUUCUGGCUCUCAUUCCCCCCAGUCCCCACAUAAACAAGAGUGACCAGCUGGGUCAUCCACAAGACCGUUUGAAAUUAUUGUGGCUUGGGUGGAAACUUAAAGGAGUGAAGUAUCUACUUUCCAGAAAAAUCGUUGUCGUUCAAAGUGAAAUUAAACUUGUUUUCUUUGCAAUAAUUCGCCUUUAUUUCCUCGUAUAUCUGUAAACUCUUCACUUUUUUGUAAUUACUAGACAAUUCGGACUUAAGAGCCUCUGCAUGUGUGUUUUGGAAUUGUGUAGCUUCAUAAUGUGAAAAUUGUUCUUUUCUAUUUGAGUAAUUAAAGUACAGUUAAUUUGAAGUAAAUAAAAUUUCUAUUUCCG